GGCUCUGUGGUGUAAUUGGUAGCACGCGGGUGGAACACCACGUACCUGACAGCAAGUGCUAGAGAUGGUUACCAGUCUCCAUGCUGAAGUCCAGGUUCAAAUCCUGGCAGAGUCU